rnacentral:rRNA from 1 species
GACGAACUGUUCUAACGUUAUUCGGAAUCACUGGGCUUAAAGGGCGCGUAGGCUGUUUGUUAAGCGGGGUCUGAAAUCCCUCGGCUCAACCGAGGAACUGGGCUUCGAACUGGCAGACUAGAGUGAAGUAGGGGUAAGCGGAACUUGCGGUGGAGCGGUGAAAUGCUUUGAUAUCGCGAGGAACACCGGCGGCGAAGGCGGCUUACUGGGCUUCAACUGACGCUUAAGCGCGAAAGCUAGGGUAGCGAACGGGAUUAGAUACCCGUGUAGUCCCUGAGCGGGCU